AUUGAACGCUGGCGGCAGGCUUAACACAUGCAAGUCGAGCGGGGUGAUGGUGCUUGCACUAUCACUUAGCGGCGGACGGGUGAGUAAUGCUUAGGAAUCUGCCUAUUAGUGGGGGACAACAUCUCGAAAGGGAUGCUAAUACCGCAUACGUCCUACGGGAGAAAGCAGGGGAUACUUGUGACCUUGCGCUAAUAGAUGAGCCUAAGUCGGAUUAGCUAGUUGGUGGGGUAAAGGCCUACCAAGGCGACGAUCUGUAGCGGGUCUGAGAGGAUGAUCCGCCACACUGGGACUGGGACACGGCCCAGACUCCUACGGGAGGCAGCAGUGGGGAAUAUUGGACAAUGGGGGGAACCCUGAUCCAGCCAUGCCGCGUGUGUGAAGAAGGCCUUAUGGUUGUAAAGCACUUUAAGCGAGGAGGAGGCUCUUUUGGUUAAUACCCAAGAUGAGUGGACGUUACUCGCAGAAUAAGCACCGGCUAACUCUGUGCCAGCCGCCGCGGUAA
rnacentral:rRNA from 1 species